rnacentral:lncRNA from 10 species
CGGAAGACAGGGGCCCUAACUGAUUUCAUUGGCGUCUUUUCCAUGGAAAGCCUGCUGUCUUUCUCUGGGCUUGGGAGAAGAGGCCAGCAAAUACCCUUCCUCAGAACGAGAACCUCUGGAAUCAACUGGCUCCAACAUCUACAGGUGGAAAUGAAGAAAACCAACGCGGGCAGCUUUGACAAAGACUGGGAACGUUUGGACUGUCCCAUCCAGGAGGAUGCUGUCUUACCCAGUGGGUGGAGGCCGAGGUGUUUCCAAAGAGAAACCGUGACAAGUAAUUAUUCCGGCCAGAUGCCAUGAGUGUUGCAGUCGACAAGUCCUGCCCCCACACCAGGAAUCCUGUAGCCCUGGAUAGCCUCACUCCAUGUUGAUCUACAGAAUCUCACAUAAACUGUUAGUCAAAAGAAUCUUAGCACCUUCUCUGACCAUGUCCAUAAGUAUUUGAAAUGGAAGUUGAGGCUUGCUGUGGGAUUCAAGGGAGUUGCCCCCUGUGUGGAUUUCAGCAUCGAAAAUGAAUGCCUGGUGUCUUCCACCUGGUGAACUCUUCAUUACCCAGGCCUAGUGAUUUUGUUUCAUACAAGAUAAUCACCCUGAAUGUGCGAGUUAUAACUGCCCAUCUCUAUGUUCAAACUGGGUCAUUUGCUUAAUGUUAUCUUUUCUAAACUCUACUCCAAAAAGGCUUUCUUUAAAAAAAUCUGUCAGCAUCAAUAUUUCUCAGUGGGAGGGGUGUGGUUGGAGCAUUAUAUUUUGGGCAUAACUGCUGUCUUUCACACUCCUGCUGACAACUGCUCUUACGUUUUUAUGGCUUUUGACUUUCUUCUUUUGUUUUCUCCAUUUUAUACAUAAAAAGUUUUAUUUUAAUCUACUGCAAUGAUUUUGAUUAUUUACAAUCAAUUUAAAAUUUCUGUUUGGGGCCACAUUUAUGGUUCUGGAAUCUGCAGGUAAUGUUUCCCUUUGUAAAUUCACAAAUAAGGUGGUAUUUAUUGUAACAUCCCUAGGUAAGUUAAGGAAUUUUGAGUUUUGUAUUACUCACACGCU